CAGCCGCCACGGGAACACGGAGGGUGCAAGCGUUAAUCGGAAUUACUGGGCGUAAAGCGCACGCAGGCGGUCUGUUAAGUCAGAUGUGAAAUCCCCGGGCUUAACCUGGGAACUGCACUUGAAACUGGCAGGCUUGAGUCUUGUAGAGGGGGGUAGAAUUCCAGGUGUAGCGGUGAAAUGCGUAGAGAUCUGGAGGAAUACCGGUGGCGAAGGCGGCCCCCUGGACAAAGACUGACGCCCAGGUGCGAAAGCGUGGGGAGCAAACAGGAUUAGAUACCCCUGUAGUCCCUGUCUCUUAUAC
rnacentral:rRNA from 1 species